CUGUAUGCUGACGUUGAGCAAAUAAAGAUACUGCAGUCAGCGUUACAACCUUUAUUAAACAGAAUGAAUUGGUGUUACAGAAAUGGAUAACAUAUGGAGACAAACACUUUCAGGCUACAGAAACUACACAUUGUUUGAGACUAUGAGAAUGGCUUAUUUUCAUGAUGGAACUCGUACCACAAAGAAAGAACUUGCUUUAUCUUAUUUCUUAUAACUAGUCCUCAAAGACAUACCCAAGUAAACUACAACAGGAAUGAAAGCAAACAAAGUUGAUUCAGGAUUUAGAAUUGAAUGUUUUUGUGUGUGAAAACUGCGGAAAAUAGGAUUUUAAUUUCAAGGAUUUGAUUUAGUAUGUCAAGGAGUGAUUUGUUUUUAAUUCAUCACACAAGUUAUUGACAAUGCUCUAAAAUAUAAAUAGGAUGUGUAAAUACAGACUUUCAUACCUAACUAAAAUAAUGUUGAACUCAGCAGAAUAAACAAACUACCAUCUGUUGUAUAAUAUAUUAGUUGAUUUAUCAAACUUUGUCAGUUUUGUUACAUUACUUAUCAUUGAUAGAAUCUAUUAUCUAAUAACUCUUUACAGUGUGCCAAGUACUCAUCAUUAUAAGCUAUUUUGAAAUAAUUACAGGACUGAUAUUUUACUGGUAUUAGUUAAAUGUGUUGUUAUUAGACCCCUUACAUUUGAAAGUGAGUUUUCUUUAUACAUACAGGAUUCUGCUAUUCCGUCUGUCGGCUAGUCCAGUCUGUCAGAUCUUUGUCCAGAAAUUACAUUUGAAAUAAAAUAUAGCAUCAUU